GAGACAGAACCCCAUGAAAGUCAGUGGGUUUUUCCUGGUUGUGAUGAAAUAGGUGACCGGGAUGAGGACCAACUGAUGAAAAACGAUUCCGAGGGAAUGAGCCAGGACGAAUAUUCCCAGACUACUGAAGACUGUUUCUAUGUCAGACGCCUUCAAUAUCCCUGUAGCAAUCAGACUUGCAACUCCGAUUGGGGUCAACCUGAAAGAUGACCAACAAGUUUUCACCCUAGACAUAUCAAAUAUUUAAAUACUGUAAAGAGGUUGAUGCUGUUUGUUGAACACAUUGAAUGUACAUGUGUGUGAACCUAUUGUCAACGUGAAUGCAUCUCGAAUAUCCUUAAAAAUAUUGAUUAUUAAUUCAUGAGACACCUUUCACAUGAUGUUCAGCAUAACUAACCAGAUGACCCAAUUCAUGAUGUACAUCACCAUAAUAGAGAUGACUUCAAAAAACUUGAUGAAAAGUUCCGCCCUCUCCCCGAGGUUGCUGGCCGUAAUACCAAAGAACAAACACGCAACAAUCAGGCCUGCAACAAUUAAUGACAGAAACAGAAUCAUUUGAAUUCUGUAUAUGGUGUUAUGUCUGGAUCAAAUACUUUUUAGUUUUAUUUUAUAUUUCGUACUUGCCUAGUAUGUUGAGACUACUUGUGGAUGAGACAAACUUAUGUUCAUCCGUGAUGGAGCUAUUGGUUCCAUUUACCAACACCACUCGAGUUGACGCGCUGUAUUUUGUUUGAGACUGCAAUAAUAAAUGUUUAUUUUAACGUUAACACCAUA